AGAGAGAGACAUGCGCGCAUAUCAAUAAGCGGAGGAAAAGAAACUAACUAGGAUUCCCCUAGUAACGGCGAGUGAAGCGGGAAGAGCUCAAAUUUGAAAUCUUAAAGGGUUCUACCUUGACGAAUUGUAGUUUAAAGAAGUGUUUUCUGUUGGAGGUUUUGGUAAAAGUUCUUUGGAAUAGGACAUCAUAGAGGGUGAGAAUCCCGUAUUUGACCAUUAUUUCCAGCUUUGUGAUACACUUUCAAAGAGUCGGAUUGUUUGGGAAUGCAGUCCAAAAUGGGUGGUAAAUUUCAUCUAAAGCUAAACUACUGGCGAGAGACCGAUAGCGAACAAGUACCGUGAGGGAAAGAUGAAAAGAACUUUGAAAAGAGAGUUAAACAGUACGUGAAAUUGUCAAAAGGGAAGCGUUUGACACCAGUGUUGUUUUCUCGAAAAUCAAUUAAAAAAGGCAGGAUUUUGUGUUGUAUUGACUUAUAUCAGCUUUCUGCACUCUUUUCUUGUCUUUUUUAAUGCACUUUUCGUUUAACAAGUCAACAUCAAUUUCUUUUGUUGUAAAAGGGUCAUUGGAAGGUGGCUUUCUUUUCGGAGAAAGUGUUUAUAGCCUUUGGCCUCUGCAAUCGGAGAGAUUGAGGUCUGCAGCGUAGAUUCCUUCGGGGUUAGAUACAUUUGUGCUAAGUUAUAGCCUUUCAUAGACAACUUGUUGACUAUGAUCAGUCAUGUAGCUUACUCGCUUAUGCUAUUUUACCUACGCUUAGGAUGUUGAUGUGAUACUGCGAGCA
rnacentral:rRNA from 1 species